AACGCAAAUUGCACUCUUUGGUAUUCCGAGGAGUAUGCCUGCUUAAGGGUUGGUCUACAAGUGAAAAAGAACUUUUUUCACUGAUCUGGUUUCCUAAGACUUCGGCCUAAAACUUAACGAUCUUUAGGCAUUAAAAGUUUGUUGGUAAUUAUUACCAAUUGUUACGUCGUGUUAUUCGCCUAGUACCUUUUUGAUUAGGUGAACCGACCUCAAUUCAAGAGUACCUGCAGGACUUAA
rnacentral:misc_RNA from 1 species